rnacentral:misc_RNA from 1 species
CUAAGCAUGGUUUGGUUAAAAUACAAGACUUUGACUUUACAGCAUAAAUAAUGCACUACAAUAUUGUUUGCUACAGCACGUCUUAAGCAACACAACCAAACAAAUUUUCAAAUGAAGGGAGAUGCUAAUCCAUUAUUAGUUAGAAAACUGGUCAAAUAAUAGAUAAUGUCCUCUUUUCUAAUUUAAUUUCUAUAAGCCAUUGAAGACUACCAGAUAUGUGCACAUGGAGUCCCACUACUGCGCCUUGCUUCAUGGGCCGGAGAGCAGGGUUGACCCAAGCCCAAAAUUAACACCUAGACACUCGGCGAAAUUCAUUCAGAAUUACAAUUGAAUCAAUUCAAUUUAAAACUAAACUGAAAAUGAUAAAAAAUUAAAUUCAUUAAAAUCGAAUUUAGACCAACCAUAUGAGUAGGCUGUUGUCUCUUGCUGCGACUAGUGAGUGAUAGGCGACUAUUAGCAGUUGAACCCAAUGGAUUUGACUUGGUCCCAGACUUUUAUUAGACUGAUCCAAUUGGGCCCAGUGGAGAACAUGGUCUGAACAUUGGUGACAGAUAAACAUAGCCCGUCAUCUUCUUUUCUUUCCUCUACCUUUAUGCUUCUCCCUCUUUCCCAUUGGGCUUCGGCUACACAUGAGGAAGCAGCGGUCAGCAAAAACAAUCUUCAUUCACAUUGUGACUUAGCGGUAUUUUUUCCAUCCUCGUAAUUAAAUUAAUUCAUCCAUCUCCUGACUUACGCAGUGAUUGUAGCGGCAUACCAUAAUUCUCAAGGGCUUAAGAUCAAUCACCAAUAGUCACCGCACGAGCAAGCUCCAUCAUGAAAAUGGUGAAAACGAUGAGUAUCCCGAAUGACAAUUUCACGUUUAGUAAUCUUGGAUAUAAGCUUGGCAGCAACAUGGCAAUCUCCACAAACACGAAGAUUCUUGGUAACUCUAAUUGGAGUGCCAGGCUUGGUAUUUAAAAUAGCGAAGGCAAUAGCUAGCUUCUCACUAUGAACCGCUAAAUGGCAUUCCUUAUCCUCCUCUUCUACAUCAUGAAGGGCAGAAUCGGUCUCAGGCAUAUAACCAAACUCUUUCAUUUUCCCAACUAAUACAUCCAGCUCCUCGUAGAUCUCCUUUGACUGAGGAUGGAACUGGUCACCAGCAAGAAAGGUGUGAACAUGAUCAUUGAGCUCAACAUUGCUAAUGCCGGGUAUUUUCUUGAGUCCUUUUCUCUGCAGGAUUGAUCUGAUAGCUGCAACAUCUUGCCACCUUCCAGCCUUUGCAUAAAUGUUGGACAACAACACAUAAUAACCUGACUGCUCAGGAACCAAUUGGAAAAGUUGAUCAGCAGCCAGAAGCCCAAUAUUCAUGUUAGAAUAAACCCGACAAGCACUCAACAAAGCUCCCCAAACUCUUUCAUUAGGUUCCAGAUGCAUAUGCCUGAUAAUACCAUAGGCCUCAUCUAUAUUUCCAGCACGUCCUAAUAGAUCUACCAUGCAAGCAAAGUGUUCUAACUUCGGAGUUAUCCCAUAUUCAUGCAUUAGAUUAAAGUAGUAUCGCCCCUCAUCUAAUAAUCCUGCAUGACUGCAGGCUGCUAAAACAGAAACAAAAGCAAUAGAAUCUGGACUCAAACCUGAGUUCUGCAUUUUUGCAAAUACUGCAACAGCAUCAUGACCCUGGCCGCACAUACCAUAAGCAGAUAUCAUAGAAGUCCAUGACACGAUGUCCCGAAAUUGCAUUUGAUCAAACACUGCCCUUGCAUCCCUCAAACAUCCACAUUUUGCAUACAUAUCAAUUAGUGCAUUCUCCAAAAGCAAAUUUGGAAUAAGCUUCUUCCUCUUGGCAUAUUCAUGAAUUCCCCUUCCUUGUGUCACAGCUGAAAGAUCUCCACAAGCAGGAAGAACACUAACAAUAGAGACUACAUCAGGUUCAAUACCAUUUGCGUCCAUCUGCAAAUAUAGGUCCAUUGCUUCUUUCGGCAUUGUAUUGUUCACAUAAACAGCAAUCAUCACAUUCCAGGAAAUCACACUUGUUUUUGCCAGCUUCAUAAACAUUUCUUUAACAUAAAAAACAUUAUCAGAGGAUGUGUUCGCUGCAGCUGGCAAGAGGCUGGCCAUUGUGCAAGCAUUAGGUUUUAACUUUGAACCCUCCAUUUCCCUACAAAGAUCCAAUGCUUCAUUGAACCGUUCAUUCUGUGCAUACCCAGCAACCAUUGAAUUCCAAGAAACCACAUCUCUACGAGGCAUCUCAUCAAACACUUGUCGAGCCUCCUUUAAACACUUACACUUCCCAUACAUGGCAACUAGUCCAUUCCCAACAAAUAGAUUCGAGUUCAUCCCGAAUUUCAAUAUAGCACUAUGAACUUGCAAACCAACCCACAAACUAUCAGACCCGGAAGAUGCCUUUAAGACGCAAACGUAAGUGUACAUAUCGGGAUCAAAUCCUUGGCUAGACAUUGUUUUAUAAACGAGGAAAGCAUCACGGUAUAAAUGGUUGUUAACGUAGCUCCUAAUCAUGACAUUAAAUAAAACAACAUUCUUGUCAGUAAUUUCAUCAAAUAUGUGGCGUGUUAUCACGGGUUCACCGCAAGCAGAAUAAGCCCUCAUCAAUUUGAUGCCAAGGGACGAGUUCCAGCGCAGGUAAUCGUCAGUCAAAACCUUGCAGUGGAGUUUUUUCAGCGUUUUGAUAUCUGGGUAUUGAUUCAAAAUCCGAGCACACAAAUCUUCAGUAAAAGCUGCAAUUUGAGGGACAAAUUUGGGCGGUUGGAUAGAUGAAACAAGGACUUGUAGUUGUUUUCCAGUUGAAAAGUAGCGUGAAAGAGUAGUGAUGGCUUUCAUGAAUCGAAUUGAUGGUGAUUUAGAAGUUUGAGGACUAAAAACAGGUCGCUUUUUAAAAUUUUUGGGAUAAAAAAAGAACUUUUAUUCGAAAGAAACAAACCGGAGCAGAUGACUAUCUGCUUACAAAUGGUGGAAUACAAUAAAAAGCACUAACACAUUCCUCAAAGAGAUAGAAAAUUAGGUCCUAAAAACAGAGUAAAUCAGUUCCAAAAUAUAAAUCCCAAUAUCAGCGAGCUCAUAUUCAAUAGCCCUUGUUACCGCGAAUCCUAGCCCUCAUGUCAAGCUGGCCUCUUUUGCAAUUGAAGUAAGUCUCUCUAAGUCCGACGCACUCACUUGGUAUAGAGGGGCUCUUCUCUCCUGCGCAUUCCCUAUACGAUCGCUUCUCAACCUUAACACAAUCGGAUUCACUUAGACACUUAACUAGUUCCAUCGCCAAGCCCUUGCAAGACUUUGACAUCUCCAAGCAGUCAAACAAUGAUCCGAUGAAGACGAGAGAAAAACCCUAGUCUUGGAGGUUGAUCUUUGGGCUAAGGUUGUCACCCCCUUGUAGCCCGGGAUAAUUAACUCUUCAGGUGAG